rnacentral:lncRNA from 1 species
CGAUCGGACGUGCCAAUUCACCAAUCAAAGGAAUAAAAAUCGGAAAAUUUAAAGAUAAUCAAACAGUGUUUUUACAUAGCGUUUAUACCCUAGGGUGCUACCCUCUAACUGUUCAAUUAGUAUUUUACCGAUCGAACAACAUCUUACUACAUUUUUUUGGAAAAGAAAGUAAACGCGGCCUAGCACGAAAAUGCCUAACACACGGGCUACAGGUAAAACGACUGGAGUUAGCAGCGAUUUAAAACGUUCCAGCGAAACUGGUGCUAACACCACUUCGACAAUUAAGACAACAAAAGUUGGAUCAGCCGCCGAUAUACAAACUGCAACUGCUCCCGCUGCAUAUAGUGCCUCCGCGGUACCUGCCUCCGCCUCCUCGUUGAAUUUACUUCGGCUGUUCCGAAUCCUGCUGCACCCGCUGUUCCGAACCCUGCUGCCUCCGCUGCUCCGAAUCCUGCUGCAUCCGCUGCUCCGAAUCCUACUGCCUCUGCCGUUCCUGCCGGUGCAACCUCCGCCGAGUAUGUGCUACAGAUUCUGCCGCACAGUCUUCCACCGCUGUCGCAACAAUUGCCACCUCUGAAAUUAACGUUGGGUAUAGCGUCACCGAGCCCAACGCUCAAGAUUAUGUCACCCCCGGCGUUUCAGUGUCCGCCGUUAGCCCCGCUGUUUGCUCCGAAACACCGAUAAAAGCGUUCCCCUCUGAUGAAAUAAAUAAUCUCCAGGAGCAGCUGAAAAUUUUAAAACUUUGACGAUAACUGGCAGAUCUCCAAGCUCAAGUCCAACAAACUGAAAUUUAUCCAGGCGUCCGUGUUAGUAAAUACAUAUAUAUACUUUGAUGAACUCGACGCAGCGGUCCCAAAAUUCAGCGGCGACAACCAUUAUGAUAUUAAUCGAUGGUUUUUGCAAUUUGAAGACUAUGCCGACGCCAAUAAUUAUAACGAAAGGCAUAAGUGUCUAGCCCUUAGGCGAUGUAUGACCGGCACAGCCAAAGAAUUUGUACUAAAUCAAGACCUUGCAAAUUAUUCAACGCUGAAGUCGCUGUUGUGUACCAUGUUUAGACGCAACAGUUCACGGCAAGAGGUCUUGCGUGAGCUAUGCCGUUGCAAUGCAGUCAAUUACCGCCCAGUCGGAUAUACCGGAGCAAGAGCUGGUUGAUCUGAUAAUAGAUGAAAUUCCUGACAGCAGCAACAACAUAAGCAUCUUGUAUGGUGCUAGCACAGUUUGCGAUCUAAUAAGACGAAUGGAGCGUUACGAGCAACGCCGGCAGAACAUCGUACAGCGUAAGCCAUCAGCCGUCGUGACAUCACGCCCAGAAGCAAAGGCCACUGCCUACGAAGAUCUUUCAGCCGUGCGCUGCUUCAACUGUUCGCGCUACGGGCCCUACCAAAGCAGCUGCCCAAAACCACAACGACCAGCGGGUUCCUGCUUCACUUGCCACCAACUGGGACACAUGCGCCGAGAUUGUCCAAUGAAGAGGAGCCAGUCGACCAAUGUUGCAGCCAUCUCGCAGACUAUAAUUAUUUAGAACCUAAGCAAGAGCUCGAUUAGUCUUGUGCAAAAAUCGAUUGCUGAACGCUUCCUAAAGUUACCACCUAUUGCGAAGCCUACGAAGUUUGUUGGAGUCGGU